rnacentral:tRNA from 1 species
GCGGGUGUGGCGGAAUGGUAGACGCGGCGGACUCAAAAUCCGCUUCUGGCGACAGAGUGGGGGUUCAAGUCCCUUCACCCGCA